GAUGAACGCUGGCGGCGUGCUUAACACAUGCAAGUCGAACGAAGCACUUUUACAGAUUUCUUCGGAAUGAAGUUUUAGUGACUGAGUGGCGGACGGGUGAGUAACGCGUAAACAACCUGCCUUCAGGAUGGGGACAACAGACGGAAACGACUGCUAAUACCGAAUGUGUUCCGGAGACCGCAUGAUUUCCGGAAGAAAGGAUGGCCUCUAUUUAUAAGCUAUAGCCUGAAGAGGGGUUUGCGUCUGAUUAGGCAGUUGGUGAGGUAACGGCCCACCAAACCUACGAUCAGUAGCCGGUCUGAGAGGAUGAACGGCCACACUGGAACUGAGACACGGUCCAGACUCCUACGGGAGGCAGCAGUGGGGAAUCUUCCGCAAUGGACGAAAGUCUGACGGAGCAACGCCGCGUGAGUGAUGACGGCCUCGGUUGUAAAGCUCUGUGAUCGGGACGAAUGGCUGGUAUGCUAAUACCAUAUCAGAGUGACGGUACCCGAA
rnacentral:rRNA from 1 species